rnacentral:rRNA from 1 species
AACGAACGCUGGCGGCAUGCCUAACACAUGCAAGUCGAACGAGACCUUCGGGUCUAUUGGCGCACGGGUGCGUAACGCGUGGGAACCUGCCCUUAGGUUCGGAAUAACUCCCCGAAAGGGGUGCUAAUACCGGAUAAUGUCUUCGGACCAAAGAUUUAUGGCCUUUGGAUGGGCCCGCGUUGGAUUAGCUAGUUGGUAGGGUAAAAGCCUACCAAGGCGACGAUCCAUAGCUGGUCUGAGAGGAUGAUCAGCCACACUGGGACUGAGACACGGCCCAGACUCCUACGGGAGGCAGCAGUGGGGAAUAUUGGACAAUGGGCGAAAGCCUGAUCCAGCAAUGCCGCGUGAGUGAUGAAGGCCUUAGGGUUGUAAAGCUCUUUUACCCGGGAUGAUAAUGACAGUACCGGGAGAAUAAGCUCCGGCUAACUCCGUG